GAGUCUGAAAACAUUGCUGAUAAAUAUAUCAGCAUAGUACAUUGCUUAUUAUAUUCUUUCAGAUCUUUUUUUAUUACUGAUAUUAUACUGAUGGAUUUUUUAUGUUUGAAUUAUAGAACCUAAAAAAAUGAAGUCUUUUCAGUUGCUUGACAGUUUAAUCAAAAAUAAUAUUUAUUUAACACAAAAAAUAUGAGUGAUGAAUUUCGUAAUUGUCAGCUAAUUUAUUGUGGACGGCGUAGUCAAUUUUGAACUGGCUCUUGAAAUUGGUAUUUUAGCUUCUAAGCAUUUAGCAAAAUAUUGAAGACCUCCAAAACUGCAGGUUCAGUGGAUUAUGCCAUGCAAUCAUGGAAAGAUACAAGCUUCAACAGCGUUUAGAAAUUGUUCUAUCAAAAUGAGUGUCCAGUUGAGAAUACUGUGAGAAAUUUAAGAAGAAUUCAAGAAGAUGAAUCUAAAUUUUGGUUGAAUGGCUGAUCAAAUAUCAAGAUUGCAG